CCAAAAAUUGAAACCUAUGGUGAUAGAGAGUAUGUGGAAAAAAUUUGCUGCCUGACUAAAAGGAGUUAUUGACCUAAUGGGAAUUCGGGAAACCUACAGGGCUUGUUUGCUUCACUUUAGGGAUGUUUACAUGCUGUUGAGAAGCACCAUGGGAGAUGUAGAUAUCACUAAGGCAUGCAAAAAAUAGAUCAAACCGUUUGAGACAAAGUGUAUACAAGGAAAACAUACAUUUCAGGGCGGACUUUUCCUUUAAUGAUCUGAAAAUAUUCAAUUAUUGUAGCUAUUUUCUACUAUGUUUGCUGUUGCUGCAGUCUAAUACCCUGUUGACUCCUAUGCAAGCUAUUCAAAUCAUCACAUUGUAUGUGGGGUUCUGUUAUGUUUAAAGUGGUACAAUGUUUAAGAUGACCUGACCUCUGAUCAGACUUUGAGCUGUGAGUGUUUAUAGCCCCUUAAACUGCCCUUUCAGGUACACAAUAGAAA